rnacentral:rRNA from 1 species
UACGAAGGGGGCUAGCGUUGCUCGGAAUCACUGGGCGUAAAGGGUGCGUAGGCGGGUUUUAAGUCAGAGGUGAAAUCCUGGAGCUCAACUCCAGAACUGCCUUUGAUACUGAGGAUCUUGAGUUCGGGAGAGGUGAGUGGAACUGCGAGUGUAGAGGUGAAAUUCGUAGAUAUUCGCAAGAACACCAGUGGCGAAGGCGGCUCACUGGCCCGGUACUGACGCUGAGGUGCGAAAGCGUGGGGAGCAACAGGG